AUGAUACGCGAGGAACCGUUACCUGGGCUCGAACGUAAGAUGACUGUAGGUGAAAGCUUACAUCUCUUCGGAGCAUUUUACGAGGUGCUGCAUGGUUGUCGUCAGCUCGUGCCGUGAGGUGUCGGGUUAAGUCCCAUAACGAGCGCAACCCUACCUUUAGUUGCCAUCAGGUAAUGCUGGGGACUCUAAAGGAACUGCCUACGCAAGUAGUGAGGAAGCGGGGAUGACGUCAAAUCAGCACGGCCCUUACGUCCAGGGCUACACACGUGCUACAAUGGCCGAUACAGAGGGCAGCUACCUGGUGACAGGAUGCAAAUCUCCAAAGUCGGUCUCAGUUCGGAUCGGAGUCUGCAACCCGACUCCGUGAAGUUGGAUUCGCUAGUAAUCGCGCAUCAGCCAUGGCGCGGUGAAUACGUUCCCGGGCCUU
rnacentral:rRNA from 1 species